rnacentral:tRNA from 1 species
GCCGGCGUAGCUCAACGGCAGAGCAGCUGAUUUGUAAUCAGCAGGUUGCGGGUUCAAAUCCCAUCGCCGGCUCCA